rnacentral:rRNA from 1 species
UACAGAGGUCUCAAGCGUUGUUCGGAUUCAUCGGGCGUAAAGGGUGCGUAGGUGGCGCCGUAAGUCAGGUGUGAAAUUUCGGAGCUUAACUCCGAAACUGCAUUUGAUACUGCGGUGCUUGAGGACUGGAGAGGAGACUGGAAUUCACGGUGUAGCAGUGAAAUGCGUAGAUAUCGUGAGGAAGACCAGUGGCGAAGGCGGGUCUCUGGACAGUUCCUGACACUGAGGCACGAAGGCCAGGGGAGCAAACGGG